CCUACGGGUGGCAGCAGUGAGGAAUAUUGGUCAAUGGGCGGGAGCCUGAACCAGCCAAGUCGCGUGAGGGAAGACGGUCCUAUGGAUUGUACACCUCUUUAGGCGGGGAGCAAUGCCGGGCACGCGUGCCCGGAGGGAGAGUACCCGCAGAAUAAGCAUCGGCUAACUCCGUGCCAGCAGCCGCGGUAAUACGGAGGAUGCGAGCGUUAUCCGGAUUUAGUGGGUUUAAAGGGUGCGUAGGCGGAUUUUUAAGUCAGCGGUAAAAUGUCCGGGCUCAACCCGGGCCGGCCGUUGAAACUGGGGAUGUUGAGUGGGCGAGAAGUAUGCGGAAUGCGUGGUGUAGCGGUGAAAUGCAUAGAUAUCACGCAGAAAUCCGAUUGCGAAGGCAGCAUACCGGCGCCCGACUGACGCUGAGGCACGAAAGCGUGGGGAUCGAACAGGAUUAGAUACCCCGGUAGUC
rnacentral:rRNA from 1 species